rnacentral:tRNA from 1 species
CGUGUAGCUCAGUUGGUAGAGCAGCUGUCUUGUAAACAGCAGGUCGCAGGUUCGAUCCCUGUCGC